GUAGGGGGCGAGCGUUGUCCGGAUUCAUUGGGCGUAAAGCGCGCGCAGGCGGUUGGCAGAGCCCGGCGUGAAAGCCCCCAGCUCAACUGGGGGAGGCCGUCGGAGACCUGUCGACUUGAGGCCGGUAGGGGAGAGCGGAAUUCCCGGUGUAGUGGUGGAAUGCGUAGAUAUCGGGAGGAACACCAGUGGCGAAGGCGGCUCUCUGGACCGGUGCUGACGCUCAGGCGCGAAAGCGUGGGGAGCGAUCCGGAUUAGAUACCCGGGUAGUCCACGCUGUAAACGAUGGGUGCUAGGUGUCGGGGGUAUCGACCCCUCCGGUGCCGUCGCUAACGCACUAAGCACCCCGCCUGGGGACUACGGCCGCA
rnacentral:rRNA from 1 species